rnacentral:rRNA from 1 species
ACUCAAAUGAAUUGACGGGGACCCGCACAAGCAGCGGAGCAUGUGGUUUAAUUCGAAGCAACGCGAAGAACCUUACCAGGGCUUGACAUCCCACUGACAGGCGUGUAACGGCGCCCUUCUUCGGACAGUGGUGACAGGUGGUGCAUGGUUGUCGUCAGCUCGUGUCGUGAGAUGUUGGGUUAAGUCCCGCAACGAGCGCAACCCUUGUCAUUAGUUGCCAUCAGGUUAGGCUGGGCACUCUAAUGAGACUGUCGGGGAUGACUCGGAGGAAGGUGGGGAUGACGUCAAAUCAUCAUGCCCCUUAUGUUCUGGGCUACACACGUGCUACAAUGGCUGGUACAAUGGGAAGCAAUACGGCGACGUGGAGCAAAUCACCAAAGCCAGCCCCAGUUCAGAUUGCAGGCUGAAACCCGCCUGCAUGAAGGAGGAGUUGCUAGUAAUCGCGAAUCAGAAUGUCGCGGUGAAUACGUUCCCGGGUCUUGUACACACCGCCCGU